UACGGAGGGUGCAAGCGUUAUCCGGAUUUACUGGGUUUAAAGGGUGCGUAGGUGGGUAGGUAAGUCAGUGGUGAAAUCUUCGAGCUUAACUCGGAAACUGCCAUUGAUACUAUUUAUCUUGAAUACUUUGGAGGUAAGCGGAAUAUGUCAUGUAGCGGUGAAAUGCUUAGAUAUGACAUAGAACACCAAUUGCGAAGGCAGCUUACUACACAGUUAUUGACACUGAGGCACGAAAGCGUGGGGAGCAAACAGG
rnacentral:rRNA from 1 species